GAGCCGGCUCCUGUCUCGGCCAGCCCAGAAAGGGGCUCCCACAGUGCAGGGCCGGGUUGAAGGGCUCCUCAAGGGCGGCCAGAGUUGGCGCCAAGGCUGAGGGGGUGUGGAGAGCGAGCGAGGGCUGCGAGGGCUGCUAGCAGGCUGUCACCUCUCAAUAGCAGUUUUGUAUAUGGGAUCUAGCCCCUCCCUAAGAGGUUGAUUCUAAGGAAGCCAACAGCCGUGUUGUGAGUACCCAAUGGAAAGUCUAUUGUGGCAGAAAACUGAUGUCUGCAGCCAACAGCACUGAGGCCCUGAGACCUGCCAACAGUCAUGUUACGUCUCAAGGAGAAGGAUUGCUGGAUCAAAAGUCUUGCAGUUAACCAGGCGUGGUGGCAGAUACCUGUAAUCCCAGCUAUUCGGGAGGCUGAGGCAGGAGAAUCGCUUGUACCUGGGAGGCAGAGGUUGCAGUGAGCUGAGACCGCGCCAUUGACUCCUGCCUGAUGACAAGAGAGAAUCUACGUCUCAACAACAACAACACGCUUGGGCACUGUAUUAACUCCAUAAUCGGUUUAUUCAUAAUGCUGAAUCAUCCAACCAUCAUCCAACCUAUUUAUCAUUCACAAUGCCACCUGUGAAUACUGGCUUCCGUUGACUCUUUGAAGAAUUGCUACUGGGCCUCA